AUGGCUCGCGCCAUGACCGCCACCGCGGGCAACGGAGACGUGUGGGUAGAGAAGGUGGACAAGAUCAGGUACGUCUACAACGCCGUCACCAGGCCUUCUGUUUCCCCUAACCCGAGGCCGGCGACGGUGACGAAGAAGCUGGCCGCCGCCAACGUCGCCAUCUCCAGGAAGAACAGCGGGACGACCCUGGUCCGCGGCGUGGCCUCGCCGGAGGACAUCGACGACUACAUCGCCAGGAAGAAGAGGGAGUUUGCUCUAGGACUGUAG
rnacentral:rRNA from 1 species